rnacentral:lncRNA from 1 species
GACACUGCGGGAAGCUCUGGCCCCACCGCGACACCGGUACGUGGCACAUCGCCGGCCCUGCGCGAACCCGGGGGCCGCGAGUUCCCUGCAGGCUGUGACUGCACAGAGCCCAAAGCGCUACUAGAACUCCGCAGCCAAGGAAACUGGCGGGCCCCACGCGUGACCGUGACUCGGAGCCAAGGACCCCGUGGGCCCGUGCCCCAGGGCAGGCAGGUGGCGCCGUACGCGCCGUCCCGCGCGGUCGGGAGAGGACGCCGCGCGGGCCUGCGAGGCCACACGGAGACCGAGGCUGGGCGGCAGCGACGCGGACAGCGUGAGAACGAGGGACACUCACCCGCGUCAGCGCAGAGCACUCCUUACACCGGAAGUAGUCGCUCGCCCGUUGCCAGGGUGAGGAAGCGGGAGUGGCAUGAAGCCUUUCCAUUGGCUGAAGGAGCCAGCUGAAAAAUCUCUCCUCAUCUCCAGCAGUAUUAGUGAGGACUGCUGCAUCUUGAUCAUUACACUGUAAGCAGCCCCUCUGUUGGGUUUCUCUGGGAACUUCCCUGUAUUUGUUAUUCCUGAAAAGCAGAAUUUCAUUUGGCCCUCUCUGUCAUUCUUAUUGUUAGUGCCAUAACAACUUAGUAUGACAUCUAUUUACACAGCAUUUACAUUGUAUUAGUUAUUAUGUUAUUUACUUAUAAUUUACACUUAGUGCCAUAACAACAUAGAAUGACAUCCAUUUACACAGCAUUUACACUGAAUUAGUUAUUAUAAUGUUAAUUACAUAUUUACACUUUAUAGGAGAGGAUUUGAAGAGAUUAUAUGCAAACGUUUCAUCAUUGUUUAAGAGACUCCAGUGUUCUUAGAUUGUGGUAUGGGGGAGGCAUCCAUCCUUAAGCAAUUCCCCACAGAUACCAAGAGCCAGCUCCCCUAGAAGGCUAAGAUCAGACAUGUUCCUGAUGGUAGUUUGGUAUUUGUUUUUCAUUACUGCAUAACAAGUUACCACAAAUUCGAUUGUGUGUUUCAUCUUUCACAGUCAGGUGUCCAGGUCUCUGCUCAGGCCUCAUGGGACUUCAGUCAAGGUGUCAGGCAGGGCUGCCAUUUCAUCAAAUGUUCAGUCUUGCUAAAAGCAUUUUGUAGAUGGCUGUGGAACAAUCCCUUUCUACACUAUGAAUAUGUUUUAUUCUCAUUGGUUAAUAGAAAGCUGACAGACCAGUAGCUGGGCAGGAAGUUGGGUAGGAAAACCAAACUGAAAAUGAUGGGAAAAAGGAGGGCAGAGUCAAGGAGAGUUGUCAGCCAGCCAGCCAGGAAUCAAGACAUGCUAGAAGAUGGGGAAAGCCACAAGCCAUGUGGCAAUACAUAAAUAGAAAUGAGUUAAUUUAAGAUAUAAGAACUAGCCAGGUGUUGGUGGUGCACACCUUUAAUCCCAACACUGGGGGGAGGGGGGAUGUAGCAGGCGGAUCUC